AACCAUCUGCUCCAGCAAAGAAAGCAUCUCCUAAGGCUCCUCCCGCUUCCAAAUCGGCCCAGAAAAAGCCUCGUGAGCCUAAGAAGAAGGUCAAUUAACAUCGCUCACAUAUCCAUAUUAUCUGUAUUUUAUCUGUCUAAAUUACGUGUUAUGUCUCAAUUAAUACUCUACUAAUAUAGGAACACUAAAGGAAGAUCCGGAAACAAGAAAAUAAUAGAUGACCUAUAUUUUUCUAAAACGUCAAUUAUUUCGAAAUAAAGUCAGUAAUCAAGAUGACUCAUAUUUGUUACCAGAGUAGCAUAUAGUUUUUUUUUUAUAUUUACUUUUCUUUUUGACUGAUUUAAAUUUGAUUCUUUUUUUUUAGGCAUCAGGUAGCAAGUCAGCUGCAAAGAACUAAGAAGAAGGACGAGUAAUUAUAAGAGUAUGAUGAAGAAUAUAUAUAGCAUGCAGAUCUGUUACUAAUCAUGAAAUGCAUGGCUGCUGUUUAAACUUAUGAGUGAUAUAGUUAUUAAACCACUGGCUUGUACUUUCUUCUCUUUGGUUUCCUAUUAAUGGAAUAAUCUCAUACCCGUAUUUGUAUUCUUUCCCUUGCCUACUCGUACAUACUCCGUCCAUAUCAAUUUAUGUGACACACUUUCCUUA
rnacentral:lncRNA from 1 species